rnacentral:tRNA from 1 species
AAGGGUAUAGUUCAGUGGUAGAAUACAUGCCUAGCAUGCACAAGGUCUUGGGUUCAAUCCCCAGUACCUCCA